GACGAAGGUGGCAAGCGUUGUUCGGAUUCACUGGGCAUAAAGGGCGCGUAGGCGGUUCGGUAAGCAGCGUGUGAAAGCCCCUGGCUCAACCAGGGAAGUGCACGCCGGACUGCCGUUCUAGAGGGUGGUAGGGGGGACUGGAACUCUCGGUGGAGCGGUGAAAUGCGUAGAUAUCGAGAGGAACACCGGUGGCGAAGGCGAGUCCCUGGUCCACUUCUGACGCUGAGGCGCGAAAGCGUGGGUAGCAAACAGG
rnacentral:rRNA from 1 species